CUCAAGUUAAAGUCUUCGUGAGCAUUGCGUAUUAUGCUUAAAUCAUGGAUGGGAGUAAUACAGCACUCAGAAGAAAUAAUGGUUUGGGAUUCAACUUUUUUGUUCUUCAAGGACAUUCAUCCUGCUGCCAAGAGCUGUCAAACAGGAGCAUCUCAGUAUAAAGAGGCUGCAGCUGGUUGCACAGACUAAGCAACCUAAUUGGAUAACUUUAUAAGCUGAAGUUCACCUGGAAAU